rnacentral:rRNA from 1 species
GACGAACGCUGGCGGCGUGCUUAACACAUGCAAGUCGAACGGAAAGGCCCUGCUUUUGUGGGGUGCUCGAGUGGCGAACGGGUGAGUAACACGUGAGUAACCUGCCCUUGACUUUGGGAUAACUUCAGGAAACUGGGGCUAAUACCGGAUAGGAGCUCCUGCUGCAUGGGGGGGGUUGGAAAGUUUCGGCGGUUGGGGAUGGACUCGCGGCUUAUCAGCUUGUUGGUGGGGUAGUGGCUUACCAAGGCUUUGACGGGUAGCCGGCCUGAGAGGGUGACCGGCCACAUUGGGACUGAGAUACGGCCCAGACUCCUACGGGAGGCAGCAGUGGGGAAUAUUGCACAAUGGGCGGACGCCUGAUGCAGCAACGCCGCGUGCGGGAUGACGGCCUUCGGGUUGUAAACCGCUUUCGCCUGUGACGAAGCGUGAGUGACGGUAAUGGGUAAAGAAGCACCGGCUAACUACGUG